rnacentral:rRNA from 1 species
CCUACGGGGCGCAGCAGUGAGGAAUAUUGGUCAAUGGGCGAGAGCCUGAACCAGCCAAGUCGCGUGAAGGAUGACGGCCCUACGGGCUGUAAACUUCAUUUGUCAGGGAGCAAUUGAGUCCACGUGUGGACUGAGCGAGAGUACCUGAAGAAAAAGCAUCGGCUAACUCCGUGCCAGCAGCCGCGGUAAUACGGAGGAUGCGAGCGGUAUCCGGUUUUAUGUGGUUUAAAGGGUGCGUAGGCGGAAUAUCAGGUCAGAGGGAAAAAUUCGGGGCUCAACCCCGUCGUGCCGUGGAAACUGAUGUUCUUGAGUGGGCGAGAAGUAUGCGGAAUGCGUGGUGUAGCGGUGAAAUGCGUAGAUAUCACGCAGAACUCCGAUUGCGAAGGAAGCAUACCGGCGCCCAACUGACGCUGAAGCACGAAAGCGUGGGUAUCGAACAGGAUUAGAUACCCGUGUAGUC